GCCUAUGGGCGGGCCUUGGCGGGGGAGCCGUAAGGCUCGCCGGAGUCAACACCGGUCUUCCAACCUCGUUAUUGUGCCCGCUCACCCUC
rnacentral:antisense_RNA from 1 species